AGGAAAAGAAACUAACUAGGAUUCCCUUAGUAACGGCGAGUGAACCGGGAUGAGCUCAAAUUUAAAAUCUGGCGUCUUUCAGGCGUCCGAGUUGUAAUCUAUAGAGGCGUUUUCCGCGCCGGACCGCGUCCAAGUCCCUUGGAAUAGGGUAUCAAAGAGGGUGACAAUCCCGUACUUGACGCGACAACCGGUGCUCUGUGAUACGUUCUCAACGAGUCGAGUUGUUUGGGAAUGCAGCUCUAAACGGGUGGUAAAUUCCAUCUAAGGCUAAAUAUUGGCGAGAGACCGAUAGCGAACAAGUACCGUGAGGGAAAGAUGAAAAGCACUUUGGAAAGAGAGUUAAACAGCACGUGAAAUUGUUAAAAGGGAAACGAUUGAAGUCAGUCGUGUGAAAGGUAUUCAGCCGUCUCUGGCGGUGUAUUUGCCUUUCACGGGUCAACAUCAGUUUAGUCCGGUAGAAAAAGGCGGGAGGAAGGUGGCACCCUCGGGUGUGUUAUAGCCUCCUGUCACAUGUGCCGGAUUAGACUGAGGAACGCAGCUUGCAGCAAUGCCGGGGUUCGCCCACGUACAAGCUUAGGA
rnacentral:rRNA from 1 species